UUUCCCAUUCCUUCUCUCUCACAACUCAGAUGUCACAAAACUCCAGAUCUUCUCUCUCUCUCUCUCUCUCGCUCUACGACUCAAGAACAUCAUGCCAGAUCUCUCAUCAGAUGUCGUUUCAUGACAAGACCGUUGAAGUGGUUCCGACACCUGAGCUCUGGUGGAGGAGACUAGGGUUUCGGCGAAGAUAAAGCCAUCGGAGGCUGAACCACCGGUGCAGGUAUCAUCUUCAUCAUCUAAACUAUCAUUGUUGGGAACAUGGAUGUCGUUUAUUGUUUACAAUUAGAUCCAUUGGCAGCUAUUGAACCAUCUUUCUUCAAGAUUACAGGUCGGAGCGGUUGCAGGCGGAACAUAUCCAGCAAUUGGAGUGGAUACAACCUGGUUAAGAAACAGGGCUCGAAGGGAAUGUAUGUAGAUUCCAUGAGGUUGUUGGGGCUGUGGGGUGUGAGAGGCGGAAAGUCUUAUUUGGAGUGACCAGGAAUGACGCUACGGUGGUGGUAGUCUUGGAAGAGAUCUCCCAACAAGUCUUUUGGCCUGAGGAUCUUCGAAGGCCAUUUGGACACUUUGGUCAUUUAAAGGACAUUUACUUGCCAAGGGAUUAUUAUAGCGGGAAAUAGAGGCUGUAAGGAACAAUUUGAUGCCCUUAAAGAAAAAGUAGUGUUUGGGGCAGACAUGGGAACCGAGAGGUUGGGUAUGGAAGCUAUCAAGCCGGAGAUGGAAUCUUGAAUUGGGGUGAAGAUCGACGUUUCGACGAAAUGCGUAGUAAUUUUGGCAAAUUGGCUGUUUUCUGGAUUUUUCAGGCUAUAAGGGUUUGGACUUUGGACAGUAAGUCUACCUGUGACAAUUGUCAAUGCGAGAGACUCAGAUCCCGAUAUUGAAGCACGAGACAUAAUCGGGUGGAUUAUGUGGUCUAUUGGCAUCUCAAUUAUUGCUUCUUUUUAUUAGCGGGAUACCAUUGCUCGAGGAGUUUGGAGAUAAAAAGUAUGGAAACGUGGCGGGAUACCGACACUAUAAAAAGACUACAAGUCCUCGGAUUCCACUGCCUCAGUGGAAGCUUGCCGUCUUGGGUCAAAGCUGCUUUCUAUUUGAGCUUCCAUUGUAUAAUCGAAAUCUUCCUAAAGAAGAAGCAUUGGGCUGAAGUGAGGGACGUCGAGCACGGCUUGGGGAGGACGAAGAUGACGCGGCGCGGCAGGAGGUGGCGGUGUAGCUGGCCCUCGACGUGGCUCGCCGUCCCGGGGACAAGCCCCACACCCAUUAGCCAUAGCUUCAGCAACAUGUUUCAAUCACCUAACAUGGGCUCUAUUCUUCUUCUUUACACUUGUGACACUACAAACCAUAUAGCAUGCAGAUUCACUGACACAUACACAUACAACACAAACGUCAAUACACAUACAUUGUACAUGAACCAAAAGGUCAAAGCUAAACAAUGGCAGGCCUCUUUCUCUUCCACAAUGGACAACAUUGGUAUUCCAACAAGAGUCCGACUGCAGCAUGCGGAUGUCUGAAGUAGCGAGCGCGGCGCAGCAAUCGCAGCGUUCCUACUUUAUAGAAAGACGAAAUUGGAUUUUGUAGAAGAUGAAUUGUUGUACUUGAUUUGUAUAUUUUACAGUUGAAUUGUAAAAGAUGAACUAGGCUGGAUGUUUAAGAGUUGCACUGCAGUAAAAAAAAAA